AAUCAACGCUAGCGGCGUGCCUCAGACAUGCAAGUCGAACGAGAAGUCCCCUUCGGGGGAUGGAUAGUGGCGCACGGGUGAGUAACACGUGGGUAAUUUACCUUUGGGUGGGGAACAACAGCCGGAAACGGCUGCUAAUACCGCAUAAUGCAGCGGCUCCUCAUGGAGACAGUUGCUAAAGCGGGGGAUCGCAAGACCUCGCGCCUGAAGAGAAGCCCGCGGCAGAUUAGCUAGUUGGUAAGGUAAUGGCUUACCAAGGCGACGAUCUGUAACCGGCCUGAGAGGGCGGUCGGUCACACUGACACUGACAUACGGGUCAGACUCCUACGGGAGGCAGCAGUCGGGAAUUUUGGGCAAUGGGCGAAAGCCUGACCCAGCAACGCCGCGUGAGGGAUGAAGUUUUCGG
rnacentral:rRNA from 1 species